CCUACGGGAGGCAGCAGUGAGGAAUAUUGGUCAAUGGACGAGAGUCUGAACCAGCCAAGUAGCGUGAAGGAUGACUGCCCUAUGGGUUGUAAACUUCUUUUAUAUGGGAAUAAAACGUUCCACGUGUGGGAUUUUGUAUGUACCAUAUGAAUAAGGAUCGGCUAACUCCGUGCCAGCAGCCGCGGUAAUACGGAGGAUCCGAGCGUUAUCCGGAUUUAUUGGGUUUAAAGGGAGCGUAGGUGGAUUGUUAAGUCAGUUGUGAAAGUUUGCGGCUCAACCGUAAAAUUGCAGUUGAAACUGGCAGUCUUGAGUACAGUAGAGGUGGGCGGAAUUCGUGGUGUAGCGGUGAAAUGCUUAGAUAUCACGAAGAACUCCGAUUGCGAAGGCAGUUCACUGGACUGCAACUGACACUGAGGCUCGAAAGUGUGGGUAUCAAACAGGAUUAGAUACCUCGGUAGUC
rnacentral:rRNA from 1 species